ACUGAGGUCUAUCCUGACAGACUCCUCUCUGUGGGCUCUAGUAAUUGGAAAUGACUCAAAGAACAAACCUGUGGUUUAGCUUUACCCUCAUAUCUACUGCCGUUAGCCCUGUGGGAUAUUACUGCAGAACAUUA